CAGUAGCCACGGUAAAACGGAGGAUCCGAGCGUUAUCCGGAAUUAUUGGGUUUAAAGGGUGCGUAGGCGGACAGAUAAGUCAGUGGUGAAAGACGGUGGCUCAACCAUCGCAGUGCCGUUGAUACUGUUUAUCUUGAAUAUGGAUGAGGUAGGCGGAAUGUGGCAAGUAGCGGUGAAAUGCAUAGAUAUGCCACAGAACACCGAUUGCGAAGGCAGCUUACCAAGGCAAAAUUGACGCUGAGGCACGAAAGCGUGGGGAUCGAACAGGAUUAGAUACCCCUGUAGUCCCUGUCUCUUAUAC
rnacentral:rRNA from 1 species